UACGGUAAAAACAUACCGAAAACACCGGUUCUCGCUUAAUCAGUGGAGUUAAGCAGCGUCGAGCCCGGUGAAUACUUAGAUGGGGGACCGAUUGUGAACACCUGGUGCUGUAAG